rnacentral:rRNA from 1 species
GACGAACGCUGGCGGCGUGCUUAACACAUGCAAGUCGAACGGAAAGGCCCUGCUGUUGUGGGGUGCUCGAGUGGCGAACGGGUGAGUAACACGUGAGUAACCUGCCCUUGACUUUGGGAUAACUUCAGGAAACUGGGGCUAAUACCGGAUAGGAGCUCCGGCUGCAUGGUGGGGGUUGGAAAGUUUCGGCGGGUGGGGAUGGACUCGCGGCUUAUCAGCUUGUUGGUGGGGUAGUGGCUUACCAAGGCUUUGACGGGUAGCCGGCCUGAGAGGGUGACCGGCCACAUUGGGACUGAGAUACGGCCCAGACUCCUACGGGAGGCAGCAGUGGGGAAUAUUGCACAAUGGGCGGAAGCCUGAUGCAGCAACGCCGCGUGCGGGAUGACGGCCUUCGGGUUGUAAACCGCUUUCGCCUGUGACGAAGCGUGAGUGACGGUAAUGGGUAAAGAAGCACCGGCUAACUACGUG